rnacentral:rRNA from 1 species
AACGAACGCUGGCGGCAUGCCUAACACAUGCAAGUCGAACGAGACCUUCGGGUCUAGUGGCGCACGGGUGCGUAACGCGUGGGAACCUGCCCUUAGGUUCGGAAUAACUCCCCGAAAGGGGUGCUAAUACCGGAUAAUGUCUUCGGACCAAAGAUUUAUCGCCUUUGGAUGGGCCCGCGUUGGAUUAGCUAGUUGGUAGGGUAAAAGCCUACCAAGGCGACGAUCCAUAGCUGGUCUGAGAGGAUGAUCAGUCACACUGGGACUGAGACACGGCCCAGACUCCUACGGGAGGCAGCAGUGGGGAAUAUUGGACAAUGGGCGAAAGCCUGAUCCAGCAAUGCCGCGUGAGUGAUGAAGGCCUUAGGGUUGUAAAGCUCUUUUACCCGGGAUGAUAAUGACAGUACCGGGAGAAUAAGCUCCGGCUAACUCCGUG